CCUACGGGAGGCUGCAGUAGGGAAUAUUGCUCAAUGGGGGAAACCCUGAAGCAGCAACGCCGCGUGGAGGAUGAAGGUUUUCGGAUUGUAAACUCCUUUUGUUAGAGAAGAUACUGACGGUAUCUAACGAAUAAGCACCGUCUAACUCCGUGCCAGCAGCCGCGGUAAUACGGAGGGUGCAAGCGUUACUCGGAAUCACUGGGCGUAAAGAGCGCGUAGGCGGGAUAGCAAGUCAGAUGUGAAAUCCUAUGGCUUAACCAUAGAACUGCAUUUGAAACUGGUAUUCUAGAGUAUGGGAGAGGUAGGUGGAAUUCGUGGUGUAGGGGUAAAAUCCUUAGAGAUGAAGAGGAAUACUCAUUGCGAAGGCGACCUGCUAGAACAUAACUGACGCUGAUGCGCGAAAGCGUGGGGAGCAAACAGGAUUAGAUACCCCAGUAGUC
rnacentral:rRNA from 1 species